AGCUUGCUAGAAGUGGAUUAGUGGCGCACGGUUUGAGUAAGGUAUAGUUAAUCUGCCCUACACAAGAGGANNNCNGUUGGAAACGACUGCUAAUACUCUAUACUCCUGCUUANNNNAAGUUGAGUAGGGAAAGUUUUUCGGUGUAGGAUGAGACUAUAUAGUAUCAGCUAGUUGGUAAGGUAAUGGCUUACCAAGGCUAUGACGCUUAACUGGUCUGAGAGGAUGAUCAGUCACACUGGAACUGAGACACGGUCCAGACUCCUACGGGAGGCAGCAGUAGGGAAUAUUGCGCAAUGGGGGAAACCCUGACGCAGCAACGCCGCGUGGAGGAUGACACUUUUCGGAGCGUAAACUCCUUUUCUUAGGGAAGAAUUCUGACGGUACCUAAGGAAUAAGCACCGGCUAACUCCGUGCCAGCAGCCGCGGUAAUACGGAGGGUGCAAGCGUUACUCGGAAUCACUGGGCGUAAAGGGCGCGUAGGCGGAUUAUCAAGUCUCUUGUGAAAUCUAAUGGCUUAACCAUUAAACUGCUUGGGAAACUGAUAGUCUAGAGUGAGGGAGAGGCAGAUGGAAUUGGUGGUGUAGGGGUAAAAUCCGUAGAUAUCACCAAGAAUACCCAUUGCGAAGGCGAUUUGCUGGAACUCAACUGACGCUAAGGCGCGAAAGCGUGGGGAGCAAACAGGAUUAGAUACCCUGGUAGUCCACGCCCUAAACGAUGUACACUAGUUGUUGGGGUGCUAGUCAUCUCAGUAAUGCAGCUAACGCAUUAAGUGUACCGCCUGGGGAGUACGGUCGCAAGAUUAAAACUCAAAGGAAUAGACGGGGACCCGCACAAGCGGUGGAGCAUGUGGUUUAAUUCGAAGAUACGCGAAGAACCUUACCUGGGCUUGAUAUCCUAAGAACCUUAUAGAGAUAUGAGGGUGCUAGCUUGCUAGAACUUAGAGACAGGUGCUGCACGGCUGUCGUCAGCUCGUGUCGUGAGAUGUUGGGUUAAGUCCCGCAACGAGCGCAACCCAUGUAUUUAGUUGCUAACGGUUAGGCCGAGCACUCUAAAUAGACUGCCUUCGUAAGGAGGAGGAAGGUGUGGACGACGUCAAGUCAUCAUGGCCCUUAUGCCCAGGGCGACACACGUGCUACAAUGGCAUAUACAAUGAGACGCAAUACCGCGAGGUGGAGCAAAUCUAUAAAAUAUGUCCCAGUUCGGAUUGUUCUCUGCAACUCGAGAGCAUGAAGCCGGAAUCGCUAGUAAUCGUAGAUCAGCNAUGCUACGGUGAAUACGUUCCCGGGUCUUGUACUCACCGCCCGUCACACCAUGGGAGUUGAUUUCACUCGAAGCCGGAAUACUAA
rnacentral:rRNA from 1 species